GGAGAGUUUGAUCAUGGCUCAGAAUCAACGCUGGCGGCGCGCCUAACACAUGCAAGUCGAACGAGAAAGCCCCUUCGGGGGCGAGUACAGUGGCGGACGGGUGAGUAACACGUGGGUUACCUGCCCUUGAGUGGGGAAUAACCCCGGGAAACUGGGGCUAAUACCGCAUACGACCCUUCGGGGUGAAAGCUUUAUGCGCUCGAGGAUGGGCCCGCGGUCGAUUAGCUUGUUGGUGGGGUAAUGGCCUACCAAGGCUGCGAUCGAUAGCCGGCCUGAGAGGGCACACGGCCACACUGGCACUGAGACACGGGCCAGACUCCUACGGGAGGCAGCAGUGGGGAAUCUUGGACAAUGGGGGAAACCCUGAUCCAGCGACGCCGCGUGAUCGAUGAAGGCCUUCGGGUCGUAAAGAUCUUUCAGCGGGGACUAUGAUGAAGGUACCCGCAGAAGCAGGAGCGGCUAACUACGUGCCAGCAGCCGCGGUAAUACGUAGGCUCCAAGCGUUGUUCGGAAUUACUGGGCGUAAAGCGAGUGUAGGCGGUUCGCCAAGUCGAUUGUGAAAUCUCCCGGCUCAACUGGGAGGGUGCGGUCGAUACUGGCGAGCUAGAGUGCGGAAGAGGAAGGUAGAAUUCCUGGUGUAGCGGUGGAAUGCGUAGAUAUCAGGAGGAAUACCGGUGGUGAAGACGGCCUUCUGGGCCGCAACUGACGCUGAGACUCGAAAGCGUGGGGAGCAAACAGGAUUAGAUACCCUGG
rnacentral:rRNA from 2 species